rnacentral:rRNA from 1 species
UGGAAACGACUGCUAAUACCGCAUGACGCAUAGGGGUCGCAUGAUCUUUAUGCCAAAGAUUUAUCGCUUCAAGAUGGCCUCGCGUCUGAUUAGCUAGUUGGCGGGGUAACGGCCCACCAAGGCGACGAUCAGUAGCCGGACUGAGAGGUUGAACGGCCACAUUGGGACUGAGAUACGGCCCAGACUCCUACGGGAGGCAGCAGUGGGGAAUAUUGGGCAAUGGGCGCAAGCCUGACCCAGCAACGCCGCGUGAAGGAAGAAGGCUUUCGGGUUGUAAACUUCUUUUAAGAGGGAAGAGGAGAAGACGGUACCUCUAGAAUAAGCCACGGCUAACUACGUGCCAGCAGCCGCGGUAAUACGUAGGUGGCAAGCGUUGUCCGGAUUUACUGGGUGUAAAGGGCGUGCAGCCGGGUCUGCAAGUCAGAUGUGAAAUCCAUGGGCUCAACCCAUGAACUGCAUUUGAAACUGUAGAUCUUGAGUGUCGGAGGGGCAAUCGGAAUUCCUAGUGUAGCGGUGAAAUGCGUAGAUAUUAGGAGGAACACCAGUGGCGAAGGCGGAUUGCUGGACGAUAACUGACGGUGAGGCGCGAAAGUGUGGGGAGCAAACAGGAUUAGAUACCCUGGU